rnacentral:rRNA from 1 species
CCUACGGGAGGCAGCAGUGGGGAAUAUUGCGCAAUGGGCGAAAGCCUGACGCAGCGACGCCGCGUGAGGGAUGAAGGUCUUCGGAUCGUAAACCUCUGUCAGCAGGGAAGAACGGUCACUGUGCUAAUCAGCAGUGAAUUGACGGUACCUGCAAAGGAAGCCCCGGCUAAAUCCGUGCCAGCAGCCGCGGUAAUACGGAGGGUGCAAGCGUUGUCCGGAAUCAUUGGGCGUAAAGAGUUCGUAGGCGGCAUGUAAAGUCAGGUGUUAAAGGCGCAGGCUCAACCUGUGUAUGGCACUUGAUACUUGCAAGCUGGAAUGCGGUAGAGGUAAAGGGAAUUCCUGGUGUAGCGGUGAAAUGCUUAGAUAUCAGGAGGAACAUCGGUGGCGUAAGCGCUUUACUGGGCCGUAAUUGACGCUGAGGAACGAAAGCCAGGGUAGCAAAUGGGAUUAGAUACCCUAGUAGUC